UCCGGAGUAGAGUAAUUGGCAACUCGGCUGGCUUUGGACCAGCAGAUUCCAGGUUCGAACCCUGGCUCCGGAGCCA
rnacentral:tRNA from 1 species